UAGUAUUCAAUGUAAAGGACACUUAUUUCUAACCUACCCAUAAUCCUACUCUCUGUGUCUCCAAGGAGUCCUAGCUCCAACAUUCUUUUUCAACUGCAUUAACAUUAAAGAAUCCUUAAUAUAAAGUAGGGAGUUUUUUAAGACCCUAGGAUCUCUUCCCUUCCCUUUUCCUCUAUAUCCUCAAAAGCAAGAUUCAUGGCUCAUUUGUCUCCAAAUUUGGAGAAUUUGCUUCAUGUUUUGAGAGAAGAUGUCAUAUUUUCCAUGGACAGCUAGUCCGUUCUCUCUUUUUAUGCCCAUCUUGCCAAUAACUACUGUAGUAAAGUCCCCUAAAUACCAUCUGGUCUUCCAUCCUGGGGCAGGAAGUCCCCAGGAGGAUCAAAGAUUCUCAGGGAAGCUGGUCUCCAAACACAAGAGCAGACAGAGUCCCUCCCAAGUGUAAAUCUCUACAAACUAUCCCUACCUCUAGGCCAAACAUCUCAUUAAAACUUACCCACCUGAUGGAAAACUGAUCAGAGAGAUGGAGAGAAGUGUUUUCUUAGAACUUCCAAUCCUCCUGGUCAGCCUGAGAAGAAAGGGAAACCAAAGGCCUAAUCACCGAAUAGCAAGGGUUUCAACUACAGAGCAAGGAUGUUCACAUCAGUGUCAGUGCUGAAGCAAGAGAAGCGACUGAACAAUCAGUCAAUAAACAUGAAGCACCCACUAUGAGUCGGGUGCAGUGCUGAGCAACAAACCAACAAGAAUACCAAGGUCUGGUGCCUCUCGACUGCAGGGUAAUGGCAAGCAGGACAGGCAAGUGGGAAGCUCAGAUGUAGGAACAAGGAGGAGAAGCUUUCUCAGGACAUCAGAUGUUGCCACCUGAACAUUGCCUAGCAGGAGCUCACUGCUACCCAUGGUCCAACAGUUCUCAACUAAGAUCACUGAGGGACAAACUCUUUGGCAUGAUGAGGUUUAUAUUAAAUACAAUUAAAAUUUUAUAAAAUAUUAAA